rnacentral:rRNA from 1 species
UACGUAGGGGGCAAGCGUUGUCCGGAAUCAUUGGGCGUAAAGAGCGUGUAGGCGGCUCGGUAAGUCCGCUGUAAAAGUCCAGGGCUCAACCCUGGAAAGCCGGUGGAAACUGUCGAGCUAGAGUCCGGAAGAGGCGAGUGGAAUUCCUGGUGUAGCGGUGAAAUGCGCAGAUAUCAGGAGGAACACCAAUGGCGAAGGCAGCUCGCUGGGACGGUACUGACGCUGAGACGCGAAAGCCAGGGGAGCGAACGGG